GACAGAGGGGCAAGCGUUUGCUCGGAAUUAUUUGGGCGUAAAGGGCGCGUAGGCGGCCUGGCAAGUGGAAGGUGAAAUCCCUCGGCUUAACCGAGGAACUGCCCUCCAAAACUGCUUGGCUUUGAGACCUGGGAGAGGUGAGUGGAAUUCCCAGUGUAGCGGUGAAAUGCGUAGAUAUUGGGAGAACACCAGUGGCGAAGGCGGCUCACUGGACCGGUACUGACGCUGAGGCGCGAAAGCGUGGGGAGCAAAGCGGG
rnacentral:rRNA from 1 species